UAGCAAUACGAUGGAAAGUUUAGUGGCGAACGGGUGCUUAACACGUGGGCAACCUGCCAGGAAGUGGGGGAUAGCUCGCCGAAAGGCGAAUUAAUACCGCAUGUGAUUAGGGAGGACAUCCUUUCAAAAUUAAAGUCGGGGCAACCUGACGCUUCUUGUGGGGCCCGCGGCCUAUCAGCUAGUUGGUGAGGUAACGGCUCACCAAGGCUUUGACGGGUAGCUGGUCUGAGAGGACGACCAGCCACACUGGGACUGAGACACGGCCCAGACACCUACGGGUGGCAGCAGUCGAGAAUUUUUGACAAUGGGGGAAACCCUGAUCGAGCGACGCCGCGUGGAGGAUGAAGGUCUUCGGAUUGUAAACUCCUGUCAUUGGGGAACAAUGCACAGAUAUUAACUGUAUUUGUGUUGAUAGUACCCGAAGAGGAAGAGACGGCUAACUCUGUGCCAGCAGCCGCGGUAAUACAGAGGUCUCAAGCGUUGUUCGGAUUCAUUGGGCGUAAAGGGUGCGUAGGCGGCGCGGUAAGUCGGGUGUGAAAUCUUGGAGCUUAACUCCGAAACUGCAUUCGAUACUGCCGUGCUUGAGGACUGGAGAGGAGACUGGAAUUCUCGGUGUAGCA
rnacentral:rRNA from 1 species